GAUGAACGCUCGCGGCGUGCCUAAUACAUGCAAGUCGAGCGAACAGACGAGGAGCUUGCUCCUCUGACGUUAGCGGCGGACGGGUGAGUAACACGUGGAUAACCUACCUAUAAGACUGGGAUAACUUCGGGAAACCGGAGCUAAUACCGGAUAAUAUAUUGAACCGCAUGGUUCAAUAGUGAAAGACGGUUUUGCUGUCACUUAUAGAUGGAUCCGCGCCGCAUUAGCUAGUUGGUAAGGUAACGGCUUACCAAGGCAACGAUGCGUAGCCGACCUGAGAGGGUGAUCGGCCACACUGGAACUGAGACACGGUCCAGACUCCUACGGGAGGCAGCAGUAGGGAAUCUUCCGCAAUGGGCGAAAGCUUGACGGAGCAACGCCGCGUGAGUGAUGAAGGUCUUCGGAUCGUAAAACUCUGUUAUUAGGGAAGAACAAAUGUGUAAGUAACUAUGCACGUCUUGACGGUACCUAAUCAGAAAGCCACGGCUAACUACGUG
rnacentral:rRNA from 1 species